rnacentral:rRNA from 1 species
UACGUAGGGGGCAAGCGUUGUCCGGAAUUAUUGGGCGUAAAGAGCGCGUAGGCGGUCUGAUAAGUCGGUUGUGAAAGUCGGGGGCUCAACCCUCGGAUGCCGAUCGAUACUGUCAGGCUAGAGUCCGGAAGAGGCGAGUGGAAUUCCUGGUGUAGCGGUGAAAUGCGCAGAUAUCAGGAGGAACACCCAUGGCGAAGGCAGCUCUCUGGUCGACCUCUGACGCUGAGACGCGAAAGCGUGGGGAGCGAACGGG